GGGGACCUCUGGGCAGGAGCCGGGGUAAUAGGAAGGGUUCAAGCGGUAGUUGGAAUUACUGGGCGUAAAGCGUGAGUAGGUGGUUGGUUAAGUCUGUCGGGAAAGCCCUUGGCGCAACCGGGGAACUGCGAUGGAAACUGGGCGACUAGAGUGUGGUAGAGGGUAGCGGAAUUCCUGGUGUAGCAGUGAAAUGCGUAGAUAUCAGGAGGAACAUCCAUGGCGAAGGCAGCUACCUGGGCCAACACUGACACUGAGGCACGAAAGCGUGGGGAGCAAACAGGAUUAGUUACCCUUGUAGUC
rnacentral:rRNA from 1 species